AGAGGACAGAGGCAGGGCAUGUGUCAAGACUUAGAGAGGAGACUGAGCGAGGAUCCUGGACCGGUUGGGGGCAGAAGGAGGCUGUGGUUGAAGAGAGUGUGAGAUCCAGGAGGAGAUCCAGCAUCCACACAUAUUUGAAGAACAAUAGUACACAGAUCUGGGGACUUUCCUGGUGGCACAGUGGUUAAGAAUCUGCCUGCCAAUGCAGGGGACACGGGUUCGAGCCCCGGCCCGGGAAGAUCCCACAUGCCGCGGAGCAGCUAUGCCCGUGCGCCACAACUACUGAGCCUGUGCUCUAGAGCCCACAAGCCACAACUACUGAGCCCGAGUGCCACAACUACUGAAGCCCGCACGCCUAGAGCCUGUGCUCUGCAGCAAGAGAAGCCACCGCAAUGAGAAGCCCGCGUGCAGCAACGAAGACCCAACGCAGCCAUAAAUAAAUAAAUAAAUAAAUAAAUAAAUUUAUUAAAAAAAAA